GGGGUGGCAACUGGCAGUCCGACGGGGUCUACAUGCGGAAGUUUUCGGAUGGAAGGAUAAGAACUUAGUGGCGGACGGGUGAGUAACGCGUGGGUAACCUGCCCUGUACAGGGGGAUAACAGUUGGAAACGGCUGCUAAAACCGCAUAACAUGGAGAUACCGCAUGAUAUUUCCAUUAAAUAUUUAUAGGUACAGGAUGGGCCCGCGUCUGAUUAGCCAGUUGGCAGGGUAAUGGCCUACCAAAGCGACGAUCAGUAGCCGGCUUGAGAGAGUGACCGGCCACAUUGGGACUGAGACACGGCCCAAACUCCUACGGGAGGCAGCAGUGGGGGAUAUUGCACAAUGGGGGAAACCCUGAUGCAGCGACGCCGCGUGAGUGAAGAAGUAUUUCGGUAUGUAAAGCUCUAUCGGCAGGGAAGAAAAAGCGCGCGAGCGCCCUUGACAGUACCUGACUAAGAAGCCCCGGCUAACUACGUGCCAGCAGCCGCGGUAAUACGUAGGGGGCAAGCGUUAUCCGGAUUUACUGGGUGUAAAGGGAGCGUAGGCGGCCAUGCAAGUCAGAAGUGAAAACCCGGGGCUCAACCCUGGGAGUGCUUUUGAAACUGUGCGGCUAGAGUGUCGGAGGGGUAAGUGGAAUUCCUAGUGUAGCGGUGAAAUGCGUAGAUAUUAGGAGGAACACCAGUGGCGAAGGCGGCUUACUGGACGAUGACUGACGCUGAGGCUCGAAAGCGUGNGGAGCAAACAGGAUUAGAUACCCUGGUAGUCCACGCCGUANACGAUGAAUACUAGGUGUCGGGGGUCAUAAGACUUUCGGUGCCGUCGCANACGCAGUAAGUAUUCCACCUGNGGA
rnacentral:rRNA from 1 species